CGCCGUAGUAAUUAUCGGGCUUUCUAAGUUCCAUAGAAUUUUAGUCUCGAAACAUUUCGCUAAAAAUCCAUUGCAAAAAUUAUAGGACGUGUUAAUAUUGCGUUGUAUGUUGGAAGAUGGAUGUUUAUUCUAUACGCUGGCGAAGUUUUACCGGGAACAAAGCAAUUUGAAGGGGAUAUUUUUCGAUUUAAAUUGUUCGUGUCGGCUGUUUGAGAACUGGAAUCGUUAGCCUUUGCUUUCAAUACUAUCACCUAUGAAGACAGUCGCAGGCAUCGAAUGUAAAGUCGCUCAGAAAUAAAAGACGAUCACAUACAAUCAAAGUAGGCAAGUAAAUAUGAUUUUAAAAUAUAAAAUUCAUUACAAAUUUUAUUGUUUAAUAUAUUUUAUAAUGAUAUAUUUACUAUACACUGAUACGCGUCUGGGCCGCCUGUGUAUGACCCUACACGUAAGCAAAUUUGCAUAUUUUCGGACACCUUUUGUAGCGUCUUAGUAAAAAAAUAUACACGUGCGUGAACUAAAAAGAGAGAAAAUCAUAAAACAAAGGACGAAUCUAAGAUAUUGUCAGUGUCAUCUAGCGAAUGAAAAUUAUGUCUGGUCAUGUCGACAGAAAAAUAUAUAAUAAUAUUGUCAGAAGCACAGACAUUAUUAGAGUAUUCUGCGCUAUAAAUAUUCAAAUUGCAAGGAGAUAUGUUUUACAUGUAUCAGGGAUAUUUUCAAGCAGUUUAGUCUACUACUGUUUUUCAGAAAUUAAGAUUGAGUUUCUUUUGGGGCGAGGACGUUAAAAAAUUUUGUGUUCAGGGGCGCACAUUCCAAAAUAUUUUGGAGGGGUGUAAAAUAUUUCGGGACCAACUUUUUACGUGUUUACAAUUUGGAAGUGGGAGUUACACGAGACGCCACCAUGGUUGGCGCCGAGCCGAAAAUGUUUUGAAAUUUUGAAAUCUCUAGAUCGUCGGAAAUGGCAUUUUCAAAGUCUAGUUUGGCCAUCAGUUAACUGUACAGCACAGAAAGGAAGUUGAAUCAGGCAGUGUAUAAUGGCAAUUAGCAAAAUUUUCUGUAACCUUACUUAUUAUUUUUUGGACACUUUCCAAAAAAUAAAUCUCACAGAAACAAAAAUUUUGCGUAAUGUUUGCACCGGACGAUCGGGACCAACAAAUGGUUCAUUUGGGUCCAACUUUUUGAACUAUUUCUCAAAAUAGAUAAUGUGCGGCCCUGUUUGUGAACUUUGUGGUACACAUUUCUAGUGUGC